rnacentral:rRNA from 1 species
UACGGAGGGUGCGAGCGUUGUCCGGAAUCACUGGGCGUAAAGGGCGCGUAGGCGGCCUGAUAAGUAGGGGGUGAAAUCUUGCGGCUUAACCGCAAGGCUGCCUUCUAAACUGUCAGGCUAGAGCACAGUAGAGGCAGGUGGAAUUCCCGGUGUAGCGGUGGAAUGCGUAGAGAUCGGGAAGAACAUCAGUGGCGAAGGCGGCAUCCUGGCCCUGUCCUGACGCUCAGGGGCGAAAGCGUGGGGAGCAAACCGG